GGGGGCGUAAUGGUUUCGACGGGGAUGUAUUUUUUAUGGGAAGCGAGCCGCAGACGCCGGAGCUGCGAUAAAAGCCGGCAACUUAAAACAAUAACUGCGAACGAUAAUCAAGUAGCACUCGCCGCUUAAGGCGACGUUCCCCCUGUGAACCCCGUCUAACGGGGAGGAACGCAAAAGACGGGCAACGGGCCGGGCUAAGCUUUGCCCCCGGCCGGCAUGAUGAAGCUACCAAACCCAUGCCCUAGCGGAAUUGGGGUACGGGGGAGGGAAUGUUUAAGAAUCCGCUGCGCUCGGAGAAACCCAUAACGAAGCAUCCUCGGACAGGAGUUCGACUCUCCUCGCCUCCACCA
rnacentral:tmRNA from 1 species